UUGCCUUUUAGUUUUGUUAAUUGUUUCCUUCCCUGUGCAAAAGCUUUUUAUCUUGAUGUAGUUCCAGUAAGUUUUUAUUUUGUUUCCUUAAAAAUCUAACUUUUAAUUCAUUUUUCUGGUAUUUGGUUAAGGAUAUUUAUAUCCACAAUUAAAAGUUGGAUGGUCUACAAUUUCUAUUUCUGUGCUUUGUCAAACUUUCAUAUGGGAAUUAUACAAAAUACGUACAUACAAAAUUAAUUAGAAAUCUCUUUUUCCCCUCCAAUGUCUAGAUAAGAUAACAUAGUUUGAGAAUUAUCUAUCCCCUUAAUCAUUUGAAAGAACUUUCCCAUUAAACCACUAUUGUCCAGAGAACUUUUUGUGGAUAAUUAUUGCAAGUCAGGCAUAUCCAACUGUUUUUUACUAUUUUUAUGGUCUGUUUUUUCUGCUGACCCUUACUCAUGUUUUUUGUUUGUUUUGUUUUGUAUGUGUCUUAUAGUUUUUUAUAAUCUCAAUUUUUUGGAAAUCAAGCAAUGGGACUUCUUCAUGGCCUGGCUUGAAAAUGGAACUGGCUUGACUUGAAAAUGCAACUCUGGAGAAGGACUUGUACUUGCCUUUGCCAAACACCAUGGCCACUAACAACCCAGAAUCACUUUAAAUUAAAUUAUUUGCUAAGUCAUUUUAGAUCACACCAUUUUGUGAAUUUGGCCCUCACACUAGCAUGAGGGUAAGCUCACGUUUAUAAACCUUUAAGGGUGGUUUUAAUUUUACUUUCAUAUAGCACCGAGCUUUAGAGAGGUCAAGUCUCCUUGAGCCUUUCUGCAUAUCACAUUUACUAUUCACUCACCGUUAUUCUAGAGUCUCCUGUAUGACUUUCUGCUUUGGAUAGAAAGUCACCAAAACAGAAGCUCAAAUUCCACCAGAAUUUAAUACAGAUACUUACAGCAAAAAUGACAAUAGUGCGCUUGAUGUAAAUUAUACCAAACCUUGCCAGGGAAUCUCUCUCUCUUUUUUUUUAAUUUUGUUUACAAAGCUGACACCAGCUUUUGUAUUAUUGUGAGUCUUUAUGAGUAUUUUAAUGAGAAGGUGGUAGAAAGCACAUUUGUCACAGCACAUCUGCAGAAAUGUAGAUUUACUCUUCAGAUAUUUAUUUCCGAAUAUCCAAUUCAUGUCAUGGCUCAGUUUGGGUUUUGUUUUCAUCUCCAACAAUGAUGAACUCAGCCAGAGUAUUAAUCUGUUCCUGGGGUCCCCAAAGAUCACACACAUAUUUAAUGAUUUGCCAGGAAGACUCAGAGGACUCAGGCAUAUAGUUGUGUUAGGUUAAAGCUAGAUAUGAGCAGUGGAAGAAAGGCACAGAGGCAGAGUCCCAAGCCUUGAAGGGUAAUGAUAGAGACACAAGUGGGAGGGAAAAACAGUAAUUAAUAAGCUACAUAUUAUAAGCCUGGGGGUUCAACAUUCUAACCUUAUGGCUUCCAAGACCUUGGGCCUGACAGACCAAAAGCCACAGGUGCAGAACAUGCACUCUCUUCUUCCACCUCUGCCCCCAAGGUAACCCCUAAACUUACUAUAAUUAAUUUGCAUCACACCCCCCAUUGAGAAAGGCUGCCAUCAAAAACUUCCCCUUACAACCUGUGGGAGGAGUCCUCCAAAUGAUUGGAAGCAGCCUCUAUUAGAGACCACCCCACAGUUCCUCCCAGCUCCUACCAGCCCAGAGAUAACCCAAUCAUAUCCAAUUCCAAAACAACCUAGGCGCUCCGGGAACCUGCCUGCUCCCCCACCUUGAGAGUGUACUUUCGCUUCAAUGAACUUUGUGCUUGCCACUUUCCUUCUGGCUGUCUUUAUCCCCAGCGUGGAUCCCCACAUAAAUUUCAUGGGGAAUGCCAGGACCAAAACCUCCAUUCACUCAACGCAGACGCUUUCUCAUGCCUGACAGUUGUACUAAUGGCUAAUAUUUAUUAUGAAGACAUAAUAAAGAUCACAGAUCAGAAAGAGAAAAAGACAUAAUGUAAAGACAGAAGAAAUCAAUGGAAAUCCCUAUAUCUUCUCCCCACUACCUUGUGUGAGAGGUCACACACAGCACAUUCUCUUUUUAGGGAAAAAAAGGCAUCAAGAACAUGUCUAAGUCAUGCCCAUUUUAAACUCAGAGUUUAGAGGUUUCAGUGUCUACUUACCACAUAGUCAUUCUCUGCCUAACAAAUAUGGAAAUAUCAGACUCACAGAAGGAAAGCAGAUUUCACACUAAAUUACACUGUUUGCACGAACAGCCUAGGCCCAGAAAAAUUACCAUAUCAGUUAGGGAAUGUUUCAGAAGCCAAGUUCUCAGAACCUAGCCAACGGUCAAGCUUGCAAACAAGUCCUCUGAAGACAGUAGCCUCAGGUCUGCUAUUUUAACUCUUUUUGUACAUAACACAUACAAAAAAUCUUUUGACAGUCUAAUCUUUUGAUUUGGAUUUAUUUUUGUUGAUGCUACCAACAAAGAUUUAAUGGGAAUCAGUUAUGAUUGGUGAUUAUAAAAACUGAUCUCUGACAAAAAUAUAUAUGUUAAAAUAAGCCUACUUUGAUUUAGCUAACAGAACCAAAUUGUAUGAAUUAUUUAUCUACUCCAAUACUUGCUAUUUUCAUUUCUGCAGUAAAAUACUAAGAAAUCUGACUUGCUGUUUCCAAGGUCUAUAUUCUAUGUAAUAUUAUUUUGACUUAACAUUUAACUUGAUUAACAUUUUUAAUCAAGUUACUGCAUUAGGCAACCAAUAUGUUUUAAAUGAAACAAUAUUAUUAUUGGUUACCUAAAGAAAAGAAUUUAUCAUGGAUGGAUUUGAAAAGGAAAAUAAAGUCGGUGAUCCAUCAUAGAAUCCAUUUUGUAAAAGUUCCAAACUCUUAUAUUCACAAGUGUAAAUAUAGGCUAAUAACUGCUCUUUAUUCACCAAAUUUUUUUUCUCAGAGUUUUAACAGAGCUCUGGAAACUACUUGUCUGGGAGAUCAACAAUGGGUCUCACAUGACUUUUGGAUGUAUUGUGAUAUAAUAGAAAUGGCAUAAACACUCUACAAGUCUAGUGACAUUUCAAAUUUCCUCAUAAAAACAGGGAACAAACAGAGAUAAUCACAAUCUAUUUUACUCAUACAAUUGAUUUUAUCAUAAUUAAAUCUGUUGUAAAAUUAAAAGAAGAAGCUUCCGUUUUUAGUGCAAAGAGAGCCAAGGUCAUCUGAGGUGACGCUCUUCUGCAGACGAUCAGGAAGCAAACCCGUUUUAGCCUUCCUCUCACACACGCUAUGUUUUGGCUGUGUGAUCAUUCAUGAAAGGGGAAGACAAGUACAGAAUUUUAGAGUCAAAUAAGAUUUUCUCUUUGAAUUGUGAAAUUAUAAUUGGCCUAUCACUAGCAGCUGCCUUUUAGAAUUUGUAUUUUCCAAAUGUUAAUAGGCCCCAAGUAAGCAAUAAGUGUGAACGUUAAAUGGAAAUCUUUUGUUUUGUUUUGUUUUAUCAGGGCACACAUAGAAUUUUUGCUUUUACAGUAUAUUCUUGUUACUCUCCAAACUAAUAUAUGGUAAGCAUUCUUUUGCUAACUAGACUUUAAACCAGGUUGGGAUUAUUUCAAAUAUUGAAAGGCAGUUCUUAUAAAACAAAGAGUUUUCAACAAAACUAUGACAUUAUUUAAAACAUGUAUUUCCUGUGUGGGUUUGUUUUAUCUAAGGUUUAUUUCUCUCUCCCUCCCUCCCUCAGUGUGUGUGUUUGUGUGUGUGUGUGUGUGUGUGUGUGUGUCUGUAUUUGCAUCAAAACCUCUCAAAAACAUGGACAGAAAGAAUGCUACUAUGUUUAUUUAUUUUUUUAAUGUAUGAUUAUCCUCUCAACUGGAACCCAGGUGUAAUUAUUUUUCCUAAGCCUUUCUAUGGUAUUGGCCUAACUACCAUCAUAAAAUAUUACUUCAGCCAUAACAAGGCUGUCCAGAAAAUCCCUAUUUGUUACAAUAAAAACAUUCAUUUGUAAAACACAAAAAUAAAAUCAAUUUUGUUUCAAGUAUAUGUUUACUUAAACAUUAAACAAAGAAAACUUUAUAAGGGAUGUUCCACAUGCUUAAAAGGAUCAUGACAUUACAUUUAUGAACAGAAUGAAAGCAUAAUGCAGAAAUUAGGUUAGGUUUCCUUUUUGAAUUAACAUCCUAAUUUCUGCCUUGGGUGGCUAACUAACUUUGGCACCAUGAACACUUUCCUCACUUUUUGAAAUUUUUAACUGUAUUUAAAACAGAUCACAUCCACUCCUCUGCCUCAACAUGCUAACUAGUCAAUGGAAAUCGAAACACAACUGAAAUAGACACUUUAUACUGCUGUCAAGGGGAGAAAGUUCAGGGCAAAGGUGUAAUUAAAAGUAUGACUAAGCAGAUGGAGUCACAUUGAAGAAACUUCCCACAAAAAAAGAGGGGAAUAAAAUGGAAAAAAGGGAGCAAGUGUCCCCCAAAUAUAAUAUUGCCAUCUUUGACUGAAUCAUUUGAGCUCUAGAAUCUCAGCUUUCUGGUAUAGGACCCAGUUGCUAUAGAAACUUACAACUGGGAGCUAAAUAAAGUAAUUUCUAUGCUAGUGUUGGUGUCUAUAACUUCAGCACCUGAUGCUAACCAAAUUGUGCUCAAUAAACAAAUUUAAACUUUAAAAGCCUGCAAUGCGAUCACAAUGCUUUCUAUACAACUGAUUAAUCUCAAUUGAUCUUGGCUCAGAGCAAAAGAACAUAAGAAAUCUCAAAAACAGAAAAAGACUACUUAAGGCCAAUAUGCCUGCAUCCUUUGUUUUUCUUAUCUGAUUUCCUACCUUAUCCCCAUACCUCUUCCCUGACUUAGUUUUAAAAUAAAAAGUCAGCAAGCUCACUCUUCAACUCAUCGAUAAUCCUGCUCUCACUGAUCCUUUUAGACAAUUUAUUCUAUAUUAAACCACUCCCUCUUGGCCUCCCCCUUUUCAUUUAUCCUACUCUAAACCUAAAGAACAAAGAGAUCAGGCAGCCCAAUAGAUACUUAGUUCUUAAUCCUCCCGACUAGGCCUGUUAUUGCUGCACAUUUGAUUAUAAGAUUAUUCACUAUUUGGCAAGAAACCAAAAACCCAAAGUGGCCUCUUAAUGCCUCUGUUUGUGUGGGCAUGUCAGACCCUUACCCAUUAUGUCACAAAGCAGUAUGUUAGGCUCUGGUAAUGUUCUGCUAGUAAGAGGGAUGAGACCAUAAGGCCUAAAUAUAUCCGUUUGCAUCCUUCUCCAGCAUCACUUUGGAAAGGAACAAUGUUGGCAUAUACUGUAUGAACCCUUUGUUUUUCUCCAGGAGACCCACACAUUCCAGUUCAAUGUUACUGUGAAGAUUUAAAGUAUGAAAAAAUCAUCUGAAAGUAUUACUUCAUUAAACCAUGUGAAUGUUUUGCUACAAGUACCAAAUGCAUAUAUUUGCAAAUUUGUUUACCUUCAUCAGAGAUUUAUAGCGAUAAGUAUUUGAGAGUGCGCUUUUAUGUGCUAAAAAAAUGUGUUUGUUUCACAUUUUAUAAGGAUCUUGGCUUCAGUUCUAAUAUACACUUCGGAGACUUACACAAGUCGAUAUAGGAUCUGGGAUCUCAAAGCUAAGAUCAUCCCAGGGCAGAGUAUUUGAUACAAAUAGGAAAGGUGCACUGCCAUAGGAAAAAAAAAAUAGGUCAGAUGGCACAUUUUUCCAGAACUAAUUAUUUAUAUUUCUCCCUAUCAGCAUUAUUGCAUGCAGAAGAAAUGAAUAAAUAAGAGAAAGAAAGAAAGAAAGAAAGAAAGAAAGAAAGAAAGAAAGAGAGCAAAAUUUAUCCAACUUACAUAAAAUGGAAUCUUUUUUAAAUCUUUACUUUGAAAUGAAGAUACAGUUUUUAGGAGGUAAUAUUUUCUUCUAAUUAUCAAGAUACUCACAAACACCAGGGGAGAAUUUGAAACACCAAAAUAGGAAUUGAUAAUAUGAGCUCACCAUGCAUUCAUAAACCUCUCCCCCUGGGUUCCUCUGGAUUCUGCUACCUUGGCUUUUGUCCAAUGAGCUUUUAAAAGCAAAGGGGAAAUGCUGGAGGGUUAAACCUAAGGAUUGACCUGCUACUACCACUCCGUGUUUGACCAAAACUCUCAUUAGGAAACAACAUGGAAUAGUUUUUAGCUGCAAAAAGGCACCCAGGAGAAUGACAGAAAUGUAUUAGGUUAACUGUCGGUGUUGCCUGUAUACCAAAACAAAAACAUCCUGGGAGAGAUAUGAGCUAUGUCAGAAACAUAGGCAGCUAACAAUUGUCAGUUGGGAUUGUUGAAUAGCAUUUAAAUGCACUGAGCAGCAUUUGGGAGCAGGUGACUUCCAAGAAGGAUGGGGAAAUGAAAUUUUGUUAGCUUUGAGAAUAGAAAAAGAAUGGAACUUGGUACUUCUUUUUUUGUAAUGUUUCAGAGAUUUCAUUUCAUUUUUUCUUGCAUGUAAAACCUCGACUCUCACAAAUUUGCAGAGAUAUAAAUAAUGGGCUCUAUCUUCACACAGUGCAGAACAUUUAAUAGGCAAUUUAUGAAUAUUUGUUUUACACAAAAAGGAAAGGAAGAAGAAAGCAAAUGAGGGAAGAAGUAAGGAGGGAGAAUCAAGCCUGAAUUAACUGUUGCUGAGUAAAAGAACUGGGAGCAGAAGUGAGUUCGAUGAGGCUGAGUAUAGGCAUCAGAAUGCUUGCAUGUUAGCCUCAAGCUGUAAGUGGCAGCUGGCUGCAUGGCCUUGGCCAGGUGGUCAGUCAGCACUCGCUAGUAGAAUUUGGCAUUCAAGUUAAGCAGCUGCAAAACGGAAAAGGCCCAGCAGCUUUGUAGAAACAGAGAUACGGGCCAUUUUAUGGUUCCAGGCUUCCAGCCAAUCAUGAUAGGAGAAGGCCGAUGACACCUGUCAGUGCCCACAAUGGAAAGAGCAGAGCUGCUCUACAAUACAGUGCACCAAGCAGGAAAGAGGACAGUCCGGAAAGACCACACUCUCCCCACCCUCAGUUAAAAAGGGGAAUCAUCUGAAUGCAAACAACAAGAGAUGAGCUUGAGACUGGUGGUACACUAGAGAAGAGGACUUGAGAAGCUCUGACUCAGCUCUCUUAGAGGUGAGAAUCCCUGAUGACAGCUGGUAUCUCAAGAGCUCAAAGGAGAUGCCCUGCCAACCUGGAAGAGGGUCCUACCAGACUGCUACUAGUUUCUCAAAGAAAUGCCAUGAAGUUGGUUCUAAGAACAUGGAAGAAACCCAGAAGCUAAACCAACAGCUACUACUGAGGUGAGAAGCUAUGGCUGAGAUGAGAUUGACAGGAGCAGUAGACACCUGGAAGAAGCAAAUACCUCCUCCUUCCAACUAUAUUUCAACCUCUUUAGUAACCUCCAUUGACAGACUGAACAGGAAAAUAGCUGGCAAAGAAGAAAUGUCGUUUGCAGAGCCCCCCACAGCACAGAACUGGAAUACAAUACUUAAUAACUGUCACCAUGGACUUAACAACCUUGAACCUGAAGGCCAGCGAAUAUCAAAAGGAUUUAUUGGAAGAGGCUAAUGGUGCUAUAAUUUCAGUUUAUACUCUUAUGAAAAGAGGACAUUUUUGAUGCCUUCCUUACAUAUGUAUGAAUCUGAACGACCACCAUAAUAAAGCCUUUCUCAGUCUA